CAGCACCUCAAGUGGUCAGGAUGAUUAUUGGGCCUAAAGCAUCCGUAGCCGGCGCUGUAAGUUUUCGGUUAAAUCUGUACGCUCAACGUACAGGCUGCCGGGAAUACUGCAGCGCUAGGGAGUGGGAGAGGUAGACGGUACUCGGUAGGAAGGGGUAAAAUCCUUUGAUCUAUUGAUGACCACCUGUGGCGAAGGCGGUCUACCAGAACACGUCCGACGGUGAGGGAUGAAAGCUGAGGGAGCAAACCGGAUUAGAGACCCGAGUAGUCC
rnacentral:rRNA from 1 species